CCAAAUGCAACUUCUGUGACACCAUUGCGGUUGGUCGUCAAAUGGCGCCAUUUUUGUUGCUUGUGGAAGACCGGCUUUAUUCUGUCUUCUCUGCAUUUAUAUUUGUUCCGUGUGUAAUAUCUUACAUGUUGAUUAACCUUGGAUAAACACGAAGUGUUUGUAAUAUGACAGUUGACACUUGACAGUACUGUGAGUAGACGAUGGUAGUUUGUGUCGGUCGUAUUUAGUUGUUCAGCAGAAGUUUGGUGAUUGAUAAUACAUACCGUUUCGUCAUGGCAGACACCGAGGAAAAAGCACUGAUGCUAAUGUCGGAAGCGGAGAAGAAAUCGAAAUCAGCUAAAGGAUUUUUUGGGGCUUUAAUGGGAGGGAACGAUAGCACAGAUGAAGCCAUUGACUGUUAUGAAAGGGCAGGAAAUUUAUUCAAAAUGAAUAAAAAUUGGGACAGUGCCGCAGACGCCUAUCUUCAGGCUGCGAAACUACAGAAAAGGGUAGGUAGAGAGCACGACGCAGUGAUGAAUAAAGUUACAGCCGCUAACUGCUUCAAGAAAACGAAUGCGCAAGAGGCUGUACAUUGCUUGUUGGAAGUUGUCGAGUUCUACAAAGAGACUGGGAAGUUUGUUAUGGCUGCCAAACAACACCAAGCAUUAGCAGAAUUGUAUGAGAAACAUCUCUUGAACUGGCAGCAAACCGUACAUCAUUAUCAAGAAGCGGCCGAUAUGUUUUCUGCAGAAAAUAGCGCAGCCUCGGCGACCAAAUGUCUUUUGAAGGUAGCAGAAUAUUCUCUUCAACAGGAAAAUUACACGAAGGCUAUUCAGAUUUAUGAGGAUGUUGGUGAAGCUGCCCUUCGUAGCGCCUUGCUAAAAUAUAGUGCCACUGAUUAUUUCUUCAGGGCAGCAUUAUGUCAUUUUUGUGUUGACACACUGAACGCACAUAACGCCUUGAUGCGAUAUGCAGAUAUGCAUCCAGCAUUCGAAGAAUCGAGAGAAUAUAAGUUGCUGAAAACUCUGAUUCAGCACGCAGAAAAUGAGGAUGUUGACGCUUUUUCGGAGGCAGUCAAUAAUUACAAUUCAGUAUACCGAAUGGAUGAAUCUUACAUGAAAAUCCUUGAAAAGAUAAAAAGCCACAUUGAUAGUGUUGAUCUUCGAUAAGCAGGAUAUUUGACGUUCCUUUGCAGUAUUUCAUCGCUCGUUGUAAAGAGUUGUGACAAAAAUUAUAGAUUAUAUAGAGAACAGUCAUUAUUAAAGAAUUCUAUGCUGUGAUAUUACUAUCCCCUGUCUCAUCAAUAAUGUUAGAUAAUGUUUGUUAGCUUAUACCGUUUCACCAAACAGGCUUACUGUAUUGCAGUUAUGUGAAAAUUGCUUUUGUAGCUAUGAAGAACUUUGUUGUCAAGUGUGACAUAAUAUGUUCACAAAUGUCAGAGUUCAUAGGUGCAUUGAACCAGAUCUGAUAAUUAAAGUUCCUUAUAGGAUA